GCGCGGCGGCGCGGAGCCCUCCGCCGCCAGUUCCCUGCCGGUUCGAGAUCGCCACCGGUCCCCUCCGUGCCGUCAUCGUCCUUCCUGCUACCAGCUCCGUCCUCCGCCCUAUCUCCGCGGCAAUGUUCUGCUCCAUCCAUCGGCGCAAACAACCUAUAGAGUCAAGGAGUAGAAUACCAAAAUACGAGCUGCAAAAGUGACUCAAAUUCCUCUUCCCUCACAAGUAACUACACUGAGGUGGAGGCUGGCCUGCAGCUUGUGUGCGCGGAGGCUCGUGUGCGCGGAGGAGAAGCACACUUCACCGACAAGUUGUUCCCGCUAUCCUCGCUGCCACUGCCAGUGACGGAACUUGGUGUGGACAACAUGCUGGAAAGAGAGUGUUCAUCCCUAUGAUCCCUUUGGCGCCCUCGGAGGACAUUUCACUUCCUUUCAAGUUGAAGAGGAAACAGUUCCCUGGAUCGAUCCUGGAGAGCCCCUUCCGUAACCAAGUCCCCUCCCCACUCGGAGUCCUCCGCCACUGACGCACGGGUAAGCGCCAGAGAUGCGGUGCAUCCACGCGGUUCAACGAGCUGCCGCUGUCGUAGAUAACCAAGACGUACACGGAGAUAAGCAAGAUUCAGUGUGCUGCACUGCCCCCACGCGCUCUGAGGGUGCGAUGUCCCCGACGUGUCCAAGACAAGGUCCAGGAAGACCCUCGCCUUCGUUAUCCUGGUAAAGUUUUGCUGUUAUUUUACUCCCCCAAUUCCACUUACAGGGGAACAAAGAGUAAGAGUAAUCCUGGGGAUAAUGGUAUUUUCAUUUGUGCUUCUAAUUAAUAGUAUUACUGUCAGCUCCAUCCUUAGAGCAAUUGACGAAAAUGACUAUAUCACCUAGAUUGAUAGACAAUAAUUAUGCACAAACAUGGCAAUGUCCACAAAACAACUGCCGCUGCAUUGCUAAGAUGCAGCUUGAUUUGGCCUCAAUAUUUUGAUUUUUGAGUAUUACUUUCUUCCACUCCUCUGCAAAAUACUCCUAUGUUCUAGCUUCUCAAGCCUCUACUCUCAACCAGUCCAGUUGUCCAGGUGUUUUUUUUUGAUAAAUAUUUAUUUUGUUUCCUUUAUCUAUCGGUUUCAAUUCUGUAUCCGCCGUUCUCAGGAUAACUGUGUGAUGUUGCCAUGGGAUCCAAAAUAACUAUUUUUUACUGAAGCUACAGACUUAAGCAGUUUCUACCAUGUGUACUGUAUUUUGAGUUAAACCUGAACGGCUUUCGUCGCAUGAUACACCACAGUGCUUUCAUGUUUUUAGGAGGGUAGUUCUUCCCUGUGUUAUGAAUAUGAUUACUAUGGUGUCACUAUACAUUUCUUAUAUGGUUAGUUCUUAAUUUUCUUCAUUAUUCCAAACAUGUGUACCCACUAGGAUUUCAUUUCUUAUUAUUUACCUUCAAGCAGUAUAUAUUACUGUUGUUUGUUGUCCACCUUGAUCCUUCGCUGAUAUUUUUCCUAGGAAACUUCACAUGGAAUUAGGAUCAGUUAAUAAGAUUCUGAUUUGUUGGUGUUGAUUUGCAGUAAGAGGAAAUGUACUAUUGUUCUCAUCAAUUUCUUUCAUACCAUGUGUAUGGUUAGUUCUUAAUAUUCUUCAUUAUUCAAAAUACUUGUACCCACUAGGAUUCAUUUAUUAUUUUUUACCGUCAAGCACUAUAUAUAUUACUGUUGUUUGUUGUAUACCUUGAUCCUUCGCUGAUGUUUUUCCUAGGCAACUUCACAUGGAAUUAGGAUCACUUAAUAAGAUUCUGGUAUAUUCUGCAAAUUUUCUUGCUUUAUGCAUGAACCUAUCAUCAAGAAUUGGAUCUCUUAUAUG